AGCAGCCGCGGUAAUUCCAGCUCCAAUAGCGUAUAUUAAAGUUGUUGCAGUUAAAAAGCUCGUAGUUGAAUUUCGGGAUCAAUACGUCGGUCGUGCUUCGGUACGUACUGGCGUCAUUGACUUCUCCCUUCUGACGAACCAUGAUGUCAUUAACUUGGUGUCUUGGGAAAUCAGGACUGUUACUUUGAAAAAAUUAGAGUGUUUAAAGCAGGCUCACGCUUGAAUACAUUAGCAUGGAAUAAUGAAAUAGGACGUUCGAUCCUAUUUUGUUGGUUUUAGGAUCAACGUAAUGAUUAAUAGGGAUAGUUGGGGGCAUUAGUAUUCAAUUGUCAGAGGUGAAAUUCUUGGAUUUAUUGAAGACUAACUACUGCGAAAGCAUUUGCCAAGGAUGUUUUCAUUAAUCAAGAACGAAAGUUAGGGGAUCGAAGACGAUCAGGAUACCGUCGUAGUCUUAACCAUAAACUAUGCCGACUAGGGAUCGGAUGAUGUUAAUUUUUUAAUGACUCAUUCGGCGCCUUAC
rnacentral:rRNA from 1 species